CGCGUAGGUGGUUGCGUAAGUAACGUGUGAAAUACCUCGGCUUACCCGGGGAAUUGCAUGUUAUACUGCGUGGCUUGAGGAUCACAGGGGAAAGCGGAACUCCAGGUGUAGCGGUGAAAUGCGCAGAUAUCUGGGGGAAGGCCGGCGGCGAAGGCGGCUUUCUGGGUGAUUCCUGACACUGAGGCGCGAAAGCGUGGGGAGCAAACA
rnacentral:rRNA from 1 species